GCUGGACGCUGCUGGUGUGUAUCAUAUCUGACCUGAGGAAGGGUCACCUGGAGGUUAACUGGAUGUCACCUGGGGAGGUGAGUCCUGCCAGUGCUCCCUACAGUGUGACCGGGGAGGAACAUGACAGUGGCGCAGUGCCGUGGCGAUAGUAACCGGGGCGACCAGUGAGUGGACAUCAUACAGCUGUUUUGUCAGUCACCGACGCCAUGCCAGCGUCAUCAGGACACACCAUGCCACCUUCACAGAUGAAGACCUUGGAGAGAGAUGCUAUGAACAUCAUGACAGUGUGUUUGAAGCCAUUGGCUGGUGGACUGAUCAUGUGACUCUUCAGGCCUUGAGGCUCCUCCUUCUUAAGACCACCAUCUUUAAUGCUCUGAUCACAGCAUGUGCCAUUAUAAAGUGAUGGUCAGAAGGAGAUGAAAAGAGGAUUACUUCUAUACUAUCUUUACAGAGGAGAGACCAUGGUCCACAGAGAGAGGAUGUCUUUUACAUCUCUACCAUGAUGAUGACCAUAGAAGAGAGGAUGUUCUGUAUUGGCUGGGGUCUGCAGAGGACGUCUGCUGGAGUAGCUCUGUGUUCAUGAGUUUAGGCGCGCUUCUUAGAAACUUGGAGAUCUUUGGCGAUUGCAGGUGUCCCUGUGAAUGUUAGGGUGACAAUUACAGUGUGUGUGUGUGUGUGUGUGUGUGUGUGUGUGUGUGUGUGUGUACAAACCUGUGGUAUAUGAUCAUCUCAGACAGAUGCACAUACAGAGACAACUGGCUUCCACUCUGACCUAAUUCUUUGUCAGUUAGAAACACUAAGGGCUCGAUACAAUCCGUUUCGCCGAAGUUCAGCACUAUAGCGUGCUUGAAAUGUAAAGGUAAUUUCCAAUUGAGCCAACAUAUGCAGCGUU